GAUGAAGAACGCAGCGAAAUGCGAUAAGUAAUGCGAAUUGCAGAAUUCCAGUGAAUCAUCGAAUCUUUGAACGCACAUUGCGCCCCCUGGUAUUCCGGGGGGCAUGCCUGUCCGAGCGUCAUUACAACCCUCAAGCUCAGCUUGGUAUUGGGCCCCGCCGACCCGGCGGGCCCUAAAGUCAGUGGCGGUGCCGUCCGGCUCCGAGCGUAGUAAUUCUUCUCGCUCUGGAGGUCCGGUCGUGUGCUCGCCAGCAACCCCCAAUUUUUUUCAGGUUGACCUCGGAUCAGGUAGGGAUACCCGCUGAACUUAAGCAUAUCAAUAAGCGGAGGA
rnacentral:misc_RNA from 1 species